UGACUUUGCUCCUGUGGAUCAAGUUAUCCAAAAGAAUUGAUGGCCUUUAUCUUUUAUUUCAAUGUACAUAAUUCUGAGAAUUGGAGACUUUUUUCGGGUCCUAUGGUAACAGUUGUGGUAGCCAAUGCUGAUUGAAAUCUUUAUGGCAUUUCCUUGAUGCAUGAUCAGAAUUUCUUGAUUACCUUGCAUGCCCAUACUUUGGCAGGACAACGAUUGUGUAAUGGUGUACUGGGCCUAAUAAUUAUAUCUCAUGCAUAAUUUGGAUAUCUAGUUCUUCUUAUAAAUUCUAGAUUGGCUUUGAAGAGUAAGAAGUGGAAUUGAUUCUGUUCUAUUCAGUG
rnacentral:misc_RNA from 1 species